rnacentral:rRNA from 1 species
CGGAUGUUAGCGGCGGACGGGUGAGUAACACGUGGGUAACCUUGCCUUGUAAGACUGGGAUAACUCCGGGAAACCGGAGCUAAUACCGGAUAGUUCCUUGAACCGCAUGGUUCAAGGAUGAAAGACGGUUUCGGCUGUCACUUACAGAUGGACCCGCGGCGCAUUAGCUAGUUGGUGGGGUAAUGGCUCACCAAGGCGACGAUGCGUAGCCGACCUGAGAGGGUGAUCGGCCACACUGGGACUGAGACACGGCCCAGACUCCUACGGGAGGCAGCAGUAGGGAAUCUUCCGCAAUGGACGAAAGUCUGACGGAGCAACGCCGCGUGAGUGAUGAAGGUUUUCGGAUCGUAAAGCUCUGUUGUUAGGGAAGAACAAGUGCGAGAGUAACUGCUCGCACCUUGACGGUACCUAACCAGAAAGCCACGGCUAACUACGUGCCAGCAGCCGCGGUAAUACGUAGGUGGCAAGCGUUGUCCGGAAUUAUUGGGCGUAAAGGGCUCGCAGGCGGUUUCUUAAGUCUGAUGUGAAAGCCCCCGGCUCAACCGGGGAGGGUCAUUGGAAACUGGGAAACUUGAGUGCAGAAGAGGAGAGUGGAAUUCCACGUGUAGCGGUGAAAUGCGUAGAGAUGUGGAGGAACACCAGUGGCGAAGGCGACUCUCUGGUCUGUAACUGACGCUGAGGAGCGAAAGCGUGGGGAGCGAACAGGAUUAGAUACCCUGGUAGUCCACGCCGUAAACGAUGAGUGCUAAGUGUUAGGGGGUUUCCGCCCCUUAGUGCUGCAGCUAACGCAUUAAGCACUCCGCCUG